rnacentral:rRNA from 1 species
UACGUAGGGUGCGAGCGUUAAUCGGAAUACUGGGCGUAAAGCGUGCGCAGGCGGUGAUGUAAGACAGAUGUGAAAUCCCCGGGCUCAACCUGGGAACUGCAUUGUGACUGCAUCGCUGGAGUGCGGCAGAGGGGGGAUGGAAUUCCGCGUGUAGCAGUGAAAUGCGUAGAUAUGCGGAGGAACACCGAUGGCGAAGGCAAUC